rnacentral:rRNA from 1 species
UUUAUGGAGAGUUUGAUCCUAGCUCAGAGUGAACGCUGGCGGCGUGCCUAACACAUGCAAGUUGUGCGGGAUUGUGCAGAGGAUCGCAUGAUUUAGCGGCAAACGGGUGAGUAACACAUAGGAAACCUCCCUCAAAAUGGGGAAUAUUUCCGAGAAAUCGGAGUCAAUACCGCAUAGGACCACAAUUUGACAUCAAAUAAGGGUUAAAGCAGUAAUGCGUUUUGAGAUGGUCCUGUGGCCUAUCAGCUAGUUGGUGGGGUAAUAGCCUACCAAGGCUAUGACGGGUAUCCGGCCUGAAAGGGUGAACGGACACACUGGAACUGAGACACGGUCCAGACUCCUACGGGAGGCAGCAGUGGGGAAUUUUGGACAAUGGGGGAAACCCUGAUCCAGCGACGCCGCGU